rnacentral:rRNA from 1 species
CGCGUAGGCGGAAACGAUAGUCAGACGUGAAAUCCCUGGGCUUAACCUAGGAAGCGCGUAUGAUACUGAGUUUCUAGAGAUCGGGAGAGGGAAGCGGAAUUCCUAGUGUAGAGGUGAAAUUCGUAGAUAUUAGGAAGAACACCUGAGGCGAAGGCGGCUUUCUGGACCGACACUGACGCUGAGGCGCGGAAGCGUGGGGAAGCAAACA